UAUGUCUUUCAGAGAUCUUGUGGGUAUCACAUCAAUCUUGACAAAUUUUCUACCCUCCAAGUCAUGAUCCUAAGAACAGCUUGCCUCCCAUUUCUCCGGUUUGUGCUAUUAUGAAGGCCUUAUUGUUUCAGCCUUCUUCAAUCUUGAGGGUUGUUGUCACUGUAUGGGUGGUUCAGAAAUAAGUAGGUCCUGUUACUAUGAAGGGGGUCACAGCUUUUGUUGGCAUAGCUAAACUUUGUGGCUCAUGGAACAGUAUGAAUGCAGAAUGUAGCUUUCUCCACUUGUGGACUGCUUUGCAUAGCUGCCAGAGGCCUCCAGAGAAGACCUUCAGGGCUUUGUGGUCUUUAUCUGUAGCACGGAUACUAAAAUUUGUGGGUUCAUAGGUCAGCUGGAUACAGGGCAUUUUUUGUGACAAUUUCUGGCAUUUUUUGAACAAGACAAAAUUCUUUUACGAGGUAUAUUGCAUUGUACUUGGUACGGCUGAGGGAAGUCUGUUGCCCAGCUCUUGCAAUGCAGACACAUGCCCUGAUAUCCAGAAUUCUGUAGGAUAACAUCACAGAUUGUAAUGCUAUCAGGUGAAAUUAUAAUUUUAUAGAAUUACUUUAUUUAUAGGCAGUGGAGGAGACAGAAUAAUGUAACUGCAACUCAUGUCUUUUUUUUCUUUUUUUUUCUUUUUUUUUGAGGCAGAGCCUCACCCUGUUGCCCAGGCUGGAGUGCAGUGGCAUAAUCUUGGCUCACGGCAACCUCUGCCUCCCAGGUUCAAACGAUUCUCCUGCCUCAGCCUCCUGAGUAGCUGGGACUACAGGCACAUGCCACCACACCCAGCUAAUUUUUGUAUUUUUAGUAGAGAUGGGGUUUCACCAUGUUGGCCAGGCUGGUCUCGAACUCCUGACCUUGUGAUCUGCUGGCCUCAGCCUCCCAAAGUCCUGGGAUUACAGGUGAGCCACCACGUGCAGCGUAAUGCAUGUCUUUUAAAAGGGCAUCCACAAUGAUCCAGUCACUACGUAUAUGAUGAAUAUGCAGAUACAGGAAUUAUCAGGACUUCCAUAAUGAUGAAUAUUGUAUUGUUGAGGCCAUUGUCAGAGGAAAUAAUCUAAAGGUUUUGUGAAUUCCUGUACUCAUUCUGGGCUGUUCUCCUCAAGGUCAUUCCUGCAUUAACAGGAGGAAGAUGAUAGGGAGAAGGGAGAUCUCAGUUCAGUGAUGUGGCCUUUGUGACCAGCCAGCCACUUAAUCAGGUGGAAAUGGCCUUAGUGCCACAUCAAUAUUUGCUACCGUGGAGGCUAGUUUUCCCACUUAGGGCAUGAGAAGAAUUGGUGUAGUCAGUAUAGAGUUGCCAAACCUGUUUUCCAAAAAUAAUGGUAAAUCUAUAUUUUUCUUUUGAACUGCAUUUUUUUAAUUAUUAUUAUUAUUUAUUUUGAGACGGAGUCUUGCUCUGUUGCCCAGGCUGGAUGGAGUGCAGUGGCACGAUCUCGGCUCACUGCAAGCUCUGCCUCCUGGGUUCACACCAUUCUUCUGCCUCAGCCUCCCAAGUAGCUGGGACUACAGGUGCCCGCCACCAUACCCAGCUAAUUUUUUGUAUCUUUACUAGAGAUGGGGUUUCACCAUGUUAACUAGGAUGGUCUCGAUCUCCUGACCUCGUGAUCCGCCUGCCUUGGCCUCCCAAAGUGCUGGGAUUAUAGGCAUGAGCCACCGUGCCCAACCUUUUUUUUUUUUUUUUGAGACAGAGUCUCACUGUCAGCCAGGCUGGAGUGCAGUGGCAUGACCUUGGCUCAUUGCAACCUCUACCUCCUAGGUUCAAGCAAUUCUCCUGGCUCAGCCUCCCAUGUAGGUGGGACUGGAAGCAUGUGCCACCAUGCCCGGCCAAGUUUUGUAUUUUUAGUAGAGACGGAGUUUUGCCAUGUUGGCCAGGCUGAUCUUGGACUCCUGACCUCAGGUGAUAUGCCUGCCUCAGCCUCCCAGAGUGGUGGGAAUACAGGUGUGAGCCACUGCUGCCAGUCUGAAGUAUAUUUUAAAGCUGUGAUGAGUUAUAAAUGACAUUCAGUAAGCUAUGCAUAUUUAAGCUGUAGCAUGUGAUAAAUCUUGAGUUUCAUAUAAUCCCAUGAAACCAUUAACAUAGUCACAAUAAUGAACUUAACACCUUUAUAUUUACUUGGAACCUUUUUAUAAAGGCUUUCUUUCUGUUCUCCAGACAACCAAUGAUUUACUUUGCUGUACAGUAGAGUACUUUCCAUUUUCUGGAAUGUUAGAUGAGUGAUGUAAUAAAGUGUUUCCUCUUAU
rnacentral:lncRNA from 10 species